CCUACGGGAGGCAGCAGUGGGGAAUAUUGGACAAUGGGGGCAACCCUGAUCCAGCCAUGCCGCGUGUGUGAAGAAGGCCCUCGGGUUGUAAAGCACUUUCAGUGAGGAAGAACGCCUGGUGGUUAAUACCCAUCAGGAAAGACAUCACUCACAGAAGAAGCACCGGCUAACUCCGUGCCAGCAGCCGCGGUAAUACGGAGGGUGCGAGCGUUAAUCGGAAUUACUGGGCGUAAAGCGCGCGUAGGUGGCUUGAUAAGCCGGUUGUGAAAGCCCCGGGCUCAACCUGGGAACGGCAUCCGGAACUGUCAAGCUAGAGUGCAGGAGAGGAAGGUAGAAUUCCCGGUGUAGCAGUGAAAUGCGUAGAGAUCGGGAGGAAUACCAGUGGCGAAGGCGGCCUUCUGGACUGACACUGACACUGAGGUGCGAAAGCGUGGGUAGCAAACAGGAUUAGAUACCCCAGUAGUC
rnacentral:rRNA from 1 species